UAGCCGCCCGACCAUCUCUCUCAACCUCAUCUCCCUCUUCCCCUUCCUAGAUCGACGCCCCUUCCUCUCCCGAUCAAAAUCAACACAUGACGCCCUUACUUCUCCGUCCAAUCACACCGCAUCUCCUCCAACUCACGAUCAGGAAAUUUGUAACCACAAAACUUCCUCCCGGUGUUCCUAUCUUAUCACGAUCUCAUGUCGUCCCCCUUUCAUUUUUUUUGUUCACCUAAACUUCCCCACGCAGCUUCUCCUUUCCUCUCCAUAACACAGAUCUUCUUCUAUCAACGAUAAGGGGGUUGCCGACGAGGAGGCUAGCGACAAGGAGGCCACGAGCGUCGACUGCACAAGAGGAUUUUGGAAUUUCUCUCGCACGGUCUGGAGAAGGUGAUGAAAUACGUGCUGGUGACAGGGGGAGUGGUGAGCGGGCUAGGGAAAGGGGUGACGACGAGCUGCGUCAGAGUCCUCCUCAAGUCAUGCGGAGUCCGAGUCACCCUUAUUAAAAUUGGUGCUUGCCUCGAUUCCACCAAGUUUAUGUUCCAAACUAUGGUUUUCUUUCAUGUUUCAAAUGCCAUUUCUUUGCCUUGACUCCACCUUUAAUAAAACCUCAUGUUGUGUUUUUAUGUUCCCAUAAGUGGUAAGGGAAGAGAGGGGUCCUUAUAGAGAUCCUCAACAUCCAUAUUUUUUAUGAAGAAGAUGAUGUGUGGAUGGCUCUCGGAUUCGUCAAUCAAUUUUAUGAUGUAAGACAAAUAUUGGCUUGUCUUUGCCAGAUAAAGCAUUGGAAGAUAUUGAUAAAUAUUAUAGACAUGUUCCAAAUUACUGGAAGACAUAUGUUGAAGAAGUAGAUCAGAAAAGAGGGAUGUGGUUGAACUCUUUCUGUAAAGCACCUCUAAGACUUCCUAUGCCUACUGAGCUUGAAUAUUGGUGGGAGAAAGGUAUUAGUUUCUUUCUUUAUUUAUGUCAUUGCCACAGCUUUGACAUUGAUGUUCCUAAUCCUUUGUGCAUCACCCAUUAGUCACAUUUGUUGGUUGCAAUGUAUGCUCUUGAUAAGUCUUCAAAAGCUCAAUACUGUUAGUUUUUUUUUCUUUAUUUUCUUGUAUACUUUAUAUGAAUUGUUUUAAUAGUUUUUGUAACCUUUGCUUGCUAUUUCAUGCAUACUCUAAAAUAAGCUAUUAGGUUGGAAGGCUUUUGGGCACUCGUCAUGCUGCCUUUGGAAAUCCUGUCCUUGUUUCUUCAUUUUUUUGUUUCUAUCGGGAGAGUAAGCAUUUAUUUAAAUCUUCAGUUUUCUUUUGUCAAUUUAAACAUAAGCUCCUUCCUUUAUUUGUUUCGAGGUCAUGUUUGUUGUACUAAAAUGGAAACUGUAUUAUGUUGUCCCCUCUGUAAUAGACAAAGAUAGGAUUAUAGGAAAACUACAUAUACUCAAUUUGUCACAUAUUCUACUUAGUUUUGGAUGGAAAGAGUUCUGGGCUUGCAUUUACAUACAAGAGUGACUAAUUCAUAACUGAUUCUUAAACUCAGAUUAAUGCAGCUGAAGUGAGCUACAAAGAGAGCUCAGAUAUGUUUGAUGCCACUAGGGACAAAGGCUUGCUGCCUAAUGUUAUCAAGAGGUUGCCCAUGUUUAAGAUAAGUUGUGAUGAGAUCAUUAAUUCAUGUGGGAGGAAUGUAUGUCGUGCCGUCUGCUUUCAGGUACUCUUUUUUUAGUUUAGAAUUUCUUCUUUUUUCAUGAUUUUGUUUGUUUUCAUAGGAUUUCAUUGAUGGAGAUAUUACAAGGAUGAUGCCGAUGCGUAACCACAUUUUCCAUGUGGUGUGCAUUGAUGUGUGGCUUGUGAAGCAUGAUUCCUGCCCUACUUGUAGACAAGUGGUUCUGCAAUUUGAGGUCUCUUGGGUGGAUUCUCUCUCUCUUUUCUGAAUAAAACAUUACAUAAUCUUGAGAAAGAAAAAAAAAUACUUUUAAGGCUUCGAAUGGGUGGAUGAAUGAAAAUUAAAAGAUGGAUGAACAAAUGAAUAUUAUUUAGUUUAUGUUUUUCCAUCUGGUAUCCCGAUCUAUUAGAUACAUGCUUAGUCGAGAUUUAAACUCUUCAUUCAAAAUCUAACAGAUGUUGUGAAGUGAUACUUGAUUGCAAAAGUAGGCAUCUAUCAAAAUUAAACACUGAAGAAACUAUGGAGCACAAGCAUAAGAUGCUUUCACUUACUAAGAAAAAGUUCAUUUAUUUGCUAAAAAGAUGGUGCAUGCAAUGGCAUCAAUGGAUACAUUUUUGCAUCCUCUUUUUGAUGAGCAUAAUUCAAGAAAGAGAGGAAGAAAGAAGAUUGACACAGAAGAAGAUUAUGAGGAAAACAUUGCAUAAGAAGCUGAUUUAAGUAACAAUGGUAAUUCCUUAAGUAGUGCAUCUGCGAUCCAAAAUCAAAAUGACCAAAUUAUCAAGUACAUUCUCGACAUGCUGGAAUUGUGAGUCAAACUAACACAAGAUUACAUUUGAUGAACAUCUUGGCACUGUAGGCACUUUUUUAUAUAUACUGAAAUUUUUUUUUUUGUAUCUUGAUUCUAUAAAAUGUUGUAUCUCUAACUCAUAUGUAGUAUCUUGUAGAUGAGAAUUACGAUUUAUCU